rnacentral:lncRNA from 1 species
UCUCUCCAGAAAAGAACGCCUUAUCCUAAUCUCCUUUCCUCGUCUCAACCUGGUGGUGGCGAAGAACCAGAGGGCCACAGCCGCUGCCGGUGUCGUAGCCCGGGGUGUCGAGGGAGAGGCGACGGACUGGAGGAACCAGGCGAGCCGGUCGGCGGGUAACCGGAGCAGCAGCGCCAUCGUCUCCUCCCUUCGUCUUUCUUCUAGUUGGAGCGGGGUCGGCCAGCUGCCGCAUCCCCGUCGAGGAAGGGGCCACGGAGCUCACGCCGGAGAGUGGCCUAGUGCUUAGGUAAGGCUGCAGCCGCGCUGUCGUGUGGUCUGCUGACACCAAGGGCUGGUCCAUCGCCGGGGCGUGCAUCAGCAGCGACGCCUCCGAGAUUGGCCACCCGCCAUGGAUGUUCCUCUGGUCUGACCCUAGUGCCAUGGAACAAGUCAAGGUACCCCGCCUCUCCCCCCCGUCACACCCUCUGUUCGCUUGGAUUUGGCAGCCCUCACCUUGGAUUCUCUUUGUAUCCAGCACGCAUGGCAGCAGAUCGCUGCAGCCAUCCUUCUCACCUGGGAAGGAGGAGAUCCAUCAGCAGCCCAGGUUCGUCUCUCUUUUUCCUCGUCCCUGCUCACUUCCUCAACUCUCUGCUCAGGUUCUGUGUGUUGCUGCUAGAUCCUCAAGUGUGAGUUUAGCCUGCUAGAUGUGUAUACUAGUUUCAGUUUAUCUAGAAGAAGAGGGGAGUGAGGAGACCAGUUUCGCUCGUGUCUUGCUCAAUUUUGUACUGGUUUCUCAUCAAGUGUCCCCUGACAUGGGUUAGGUGGAUGGAUGGAUACAUAUAUCUAGCAAAAUUAACAUGAGUAAUUAUUGUCUACUGAUUAAGCCGAUUGAUGCAAGGUGUUCAUAUAUCUAUCUAUCUAUGUGUUACUACUUCUAGGAAAUGGAAUCGGUGUUUUUGCUUGGAGAUUGUACUGAUUUUUACGACCAGGAAUUUUUUUGUUUUUUGCAUUCUAGCUACCUCACUUUUUAGCAUGAGUUGCCUAGAGUUCCAAUUCCCCAACCCCCUUGCUUCUCCAUCUACUCCAACUUGUUCUAUCUAACCUGCUUCGAACUGCUGCAGGAUCUACUCAAUUUUGAUCCUUUUCUUAGUGCCUGCCAGUAGUUGCUUCAAAUUUAGCAUCAGUUGCUUGAAAUUAUAGGCAAAGUUGUUGCAUCUUUUUUACUUUUGCACACGAGAUCAUGUGUUAUCAUUUUUGUUUAGAAGGAUCAUGUUUGAGGGAACUUGGUGGGCAGAACAAAUCAACAUAUACAAGUAUAAGUCUAUCAUAUGCUCUGCUCUGUCUCUUGAUUGAUGACAACAGAAUUCAGUAGGAGUACCGUUUGUUCAUCCAAUUGAUAAUUCAUUCCUGAACUGCCACUGUUUUUGCGAGAUGAAUAAUGGGCUAGAUUCAGAGAUACGUGAAUUUUGCCUACAUAUAGAAUUAGAUUGCACUGUUUUUUUUAUAAAAUGAAAUGAAUGUGCUCCAUGCAACUCAGGGGGUUUUGGUGUUGAUUUUGCAUGAGAUACAACUGAUUUCAAUGUCAUAAACACAUUUUUUGUGCAACUUGUUGCUUCAAAGCAUGUGUAGUUGCUCAAGUUUAUAAUAUGGGUUGCCUGGAAUUAAACGAAGGGUUACUUUAAUUUUUACUAAAUCUAUAGGGCCUGGAAACAGGGGGAGGUGCAGAUUUUGUACUCCGCCGAGUGGCUUCUCUUGUGACGGGCGUCACGCCUGAUAUGGGGAUUGAAGGGGGUUGGGCAGCAUUGGAUUCGGAAGGCGACUUUCCACUCCAAGGAUAGAAUAGUUACUUGGAUUUCGUUAAAAGAGUUGCAUUUUGUGCGUGUACCGCAGUUGCUUAGUUUUGUUGGGGCAGUUGCUCGGAUUCGUUUUUGAACAUUUUUGUUGCAUUUUUGCCUCUUGUAAUGCAGUUGCUUGGUUUUCCUAGGACAGUUGCUUCCUUUUUACUAGAACAGCUUUGCAUUUUUGUGUUUUUUAAUUGAGUUUCUUGGAUUUUUGCUAGGCUAGAUGAGAAGUUGCAUGGAGAGGGGGGUCAGAUAGUUUUCCACAAAGGUUAUUCAAGUUUCUCACACCUUUUUUUUCUUCCUAAAGUAGUAGAUAAUCUAAGUAGUAAUGCUAGGGACAGUUACCUAUUUUUGCUAGGACAAUUUCACACUUUUCUGUUUCGAGUUGCUUGGAUUGUUUGCUGUAAGUUUUUUAGAUUAUCAUCUCAGAUUUGAAUACGCAUGCAGACUGAGAAGAUACAUCUAUGAAGUAGUUCCGGAUGGCCUAUAACUGAUGCGAUGAUUGAUUUGCAUGGCUAUCAUCCCGAUCCUCCUCCCGUCGACGCGCUCCGUGCGAAGCACACCAUCGCCCCACCCUCCACCCUAAAGUAGAUGCUAGGGGAGUUGCUUGAUUUUUCUAGGACAAUUGCUUGGUUUUGCUAGGGUAGUUGCUUGUUUUUCUUGCUAGAACAAUUUUUGCAUUUUGUGUACUUUUGUAGUUGAGUUGUUUGGAUUUUUGCUAGAACAGAUGAGAAGUUACAUGGAGGAGGGGGGAUAAGAUAGUUGCCCACAAAGGUUAUUCAACUUACUCAUGUGUUUUUUUUUGCCUAAAAUAGACAAUCUAAGUAGUAGUGCCAGAGACAUCUGCUUGUUUCUGCUACAACAGUUUCCCACUUUUUGCGUUUCUUUGUAAUCGAAUUGCUUUGAUCUUCUGCUACAACAUACGAGAAGGUGGAUGAGAGGGGAGUUGCUUGGUUUUGCUAGGACAUUUUUUUCAUAAAAGGUUAUUCAAGUUGCUCAUACAUUUUUUCCUCUGCCUAAAAUUGAUGGUAGGGGAGUUGCUUGGUUUUGCUAGGACAAUUGCUUGGUUUUGCUAGGGCAGUUGUUUGUUUUUUUGCUAGAACAAUUUUGCAUUUUUGUGUUUUUUAUAUUGAGUUACAAGCAAAAGGGCUGCUCAACCUGAUGUUUCACAGGGUGAAAUGCUGGAUCGACAUGAGGUACCCAUUGUUUUUUCAGAUUUUUUUGAUGAAACGGUGAAGAUGAAGAAGGAAAGCAACCGGAACGGGCGAAGAGAGGUGGAUAGGAAGUAAUUCUAAAAAAUACUGUAUUAGUAGAUUAAGUUGCAUCAGAAUAUAUAUGGAGCUGCUUAGUUCACAUCAACAGUUGCAUAAAAAUGCCUGGAACACAUUUUUUCUUUUUUAAUAGUUGUCCAUGAAUCACACUAAAGUUGCCUAUGUUAGAGAAUAUAUAUGUUGUCUCUACUUGUUGUUUUUGUGGUUCUUUUUUUUCGCACAAGGGCUGCCUGAUAUUACUGCAAGGAGCUUAUGGGGCAGCAACCUCUCUUUUAAUGCAUGACACUAGUUGCUUCAAAUUUUAAAAGAGUUGUCCGAAAUCAUAGCAAAGUU